rnacentral:rRNA from 1 species
AUUGAACGCUGGCGGCAUGCUUUACACAUGCAAGUCGAACGGCAGCGGGGACUUCGGUCCGCCGGCGAGUGGCGAACGGGUGAGUAAUGCAUCGGAACGUGCCUAUCAGUGGGGGAUAACGCUUUGAAAGGAGUGCUAAUUCCGCAUAUUCUUUGAGGAGGAAAGCAGGGGACCUUAGGGCCUUGCGCUGAUAGAGCGGCCGAUGUCGGAUUAGCUAGUUGGUGAGGUAAAGGCUCGCCAAGGCGACGAUCCGUAGCGGGUUUGAGAGGAUGAUCCGCCACACUGGGACUGAGACACGGCCCAGACUCCUACGGGAGGCAGCAGUGGGGAAUUUUGGACAAUGGGCGAAAGCCUGAUCCAGCCAUGCCGCGUGAGUGAAGAAGGCCUUCGGGUUGUAAAGUACUUUCAGCGGGGAGGAAGGGAGUAAAGUUAAUACCUUUGCUCAUUGACGUUACCAGCAGAAGAAGCACCGGCUAACUCCGUG